AUACGGAGGGUACAAGCGUUACUCGGUAUCACUGGGCGUAUAGCGCGCGCAGGCGGCCAUUUAAGUUGGAUGUGAAAGCCUACGGCUCAACCGUAGAACUGCAUCCAAAACUAUUUGGCUAGAGUGUGGGAGAGGAAGAUGGAAUUAGUUGUGUAGGGGUAAAAUCCGUAGAGAUAACUAGGAAUACCAAAAGCGAAGGCAAUCUUCUGGAACAUUACUGACGCUGAGGCGCGAAAGCGUGGGGAGCAAACAGGAUUAGAAACCCUAGUAGUCC
rnacentral:rRNA from 1 species